rnacentral:rRNA from 1 species
UAGCCGUAAACGAUACUCGCUAGGUGUCGGCCACGGUGCGACCGUUGUCGGUGCCGUAGGGAAGCCGUGAAGCGAGCUACCUGGGAAGUACGGCCGCAAGGCUGAAACUUAAAGGAAUUGGCGGGGGAGCACAACAACGGGUGGAGCUUGCGGUUUAAUUGGACUCAACGCCGGGAAGCUCACCGGAUAAGACAGCGGAAUGAUUGCCGGGCUGAAGACUCUGCAUGACUAGCUGAGAGGUGGUGCAUGGCGUAGACGUCU